UACGUAGGGUGCGAGCGUUAAUCGGAAUUACUGGGCGUAAAGGGUGCGCAGGCGGUUCUGCAAGUCAGGCGUGAAAGCCCCGGGCUUAACCUGGGAAUGGCGCUUGAAACUACAGGACUGGAGUAUGGCAGAGGGAGGUGGAAUUCCACGUGUAGCGGUGAAAUGCGUAGAGAUGUGGAGGAACACCGAUGGCGAAGGCAGCCUCCUGGGCCAAUACUGACGCUCAUGCACGAAAGCGUGGGGAGCAAACAGG
rnacentral:rRNA from 1 species